UACUGAAACGAGAAUCACGUGAAGGGAUAGAGACUGCGAUUACAAAUAAAACAUGCUCAGUAGAGUUCCCAAGAACGGCCAACCAAACACGAACAUGUGCUAAGUAUGGGACAUUUUCUGAAACGUUAAGGUAAGGAGGGAGGUGGUUACAGGAGCAGGAAGAGUGUGGGGACAUAGAGUCAGAUUGCACUGAGGAGCAUGGGCAGUGUGCCUCAGUUCUAAUUUAUUAGAGCAGUGCGCAAAUGACAACUCACUUUGCAGUAUUUAUCACACUUAUUAAAUGAACUGUUAUCACAUUAGCUGCUUGUUUUCUCUGUCUCUCUGUGUGUGGGGAGGGGGGAGGGAGGGAGGGAUAGAGAAACCUCCCAGGUAGUUUCUGAAUUUGGGGCAGUGAGUUUCAUCAAUUUUGUGUCUUCUCUUAUUCUACGUGAUGCUACAUUUACUAUAGUUUUGAGUGCAUAUGUGAAAAAAUGAGAUGGAAACUUCUUUCCUCCUUCCCUUUCCUACUUUCUCUCUUUCAUACUCAGUCCAGGUUUCCUUACUGCUGGCAAGGGCCCAGGUGCUUCAGUCAUUAUUUGUGACCUCUCAGGGUAUGCAUUAGUAGGGAGCUAGCAUAGGAAGCUGAAGUGGAGCCAAGACUCAAACCCAAGUACUUUAAUAGAAGAUGAGGUGUCCCAAGCAGCAUCUUAAACACAGAGCCAAAUGCCCAACCAGGAUGGCCACUAUAAAAAAGUGUAAUUCAGAAAAUCUCAAGUGCUGAUGAAGAUGUGGAGAAAUUUGAGUACUUGUGCAUGGUUGGUGGGAUAUAAAAUGAUGCCACUGCAAUAGAAAACAACUCAGUGUUUCCUAAAAAAAUUAAAUAGAAUUACUGUAUGAUACAAUAAUCCCACUUUUCAGUAUAUACUUGAAAGAAUUGAAAGCAGGGUCUUGAAAAGUUAUUUGUGCAUGCAUGUUCAUGGCAAUAUUAUUCAUUUUAGCUAAAAGCUGGAAGCUAGCCAAGCAUUCAUUGGUAUGGAAAACAAAAUGUGGUGGAUGCAUACAAUGGAAUAUUAUUCAGCCUUACAAAGGAAGAAAACAGGCUAUAACAUAGAAGAGACUUGAGGACAUUAUACUGAGUGAAAUAAGUCAUCACAAACAUACAAAUACUGUGUUUUGCAUUUUUUGUAUUUUGAUUUUUACCUAUAUGAGGAACCUGGAGUAGACAAACCCACAGUGCCAGAAAAUAGAAUGAUGGUUCCCAGGGGCCGGGGGAGGAGAGGAUGGGGAACUGUGUUCAAUGAGCAUGCAGUUUGUUUUGCAAGGUGAAGAAUUCUGGAGAUUGGUUGCAUAACAUUGUGGAUGUACUUAACUCUCCCAAACUGGACAUUUAAAGAUGACCAAGAUGAUGAAUUUUGUGUUGUGUAUUUUAUAACAAAAUGGACAAAACAUGCGAAAAUGAUAUUCACAAGGAAAUUAUAACUUGGAAAUACUUAACAUGAGGUGAGAAAAGACAAGAUGAAAAGUCAUAUUCAGAUUAGGAUCUGAGCUCUGUGAUAAAAAUAGAGGAGGUGUGUUUGACAAUACAGAGAUCAUGGGUAAUUAUUAAAUUUAUUAAAUUUAUUAAUAUUUAUUAAAUUUAUUUAAAUUAUUAAAUUUAUUUCUAUAGUUUCCAAUUUUUAACAGUAAAUUUCCAUUUCUUUUACUGCAGGAUGGAAAAUAUGAUUUUAAAACUUGCUUCUAAUUGGUUUCUUCUUCAGGUUUGUUACUGCUAACCAACUAGCAUAUGAUUGACACUUUCCUAAUUUGUUCAUCUGAAGAUUAAAAUUUGCCUAUAGGUCAAGAUCUAGGAAGAGAAAUUUCAUUUUGCACAGAAUUGUCAGUCCUUUUACAUCAAUAAAUCUGAUUCUGGGAAUGUGCAGUUUUAUAUGUAAGAAGAAAUGUGUACAGUCGAACUGAGCCAUGGAGGAACAAUCAGAUUGUGCAUACAUACAUGCAUCCGACAUGUCUUACAAGCUACUUACCCCCAUUGUGUGUUAUGAGUCACUUCCAUCUAAGUCUGGCAUAAUAGCUGAACAUUGGACUUCAGAUAAUCUUGCUUCCCUUCACUGUUCCAUAACUCAUAACUUUCACAACUGAAUUCAUAUGUUUCAAGGUAAAGUGUCAUAUUUUUUGGCAGAAUUACUUUUAUUGCUUUGAAAUUAGGUUCCUAUCUUUUCCCUUUUAGUGUCACUUAAUAGAGUUUAUUAGGUAUGGUACUCCAACUCUGUUUUCCUUAUAAGCCAUAUGUUUUUCCCUGUAUUGACUGAUGCAUAUGUUCUGUUAUAGGAGAUUUGACCUGGUAGCCAACAACCUUCUGAACUCUAUCAACUCUAUCAGAGUUGGCUGUGUUCCUCUUUUAUUUUUGUGAUAGUUUUCCUCAAUGAUCAACUAACAAUUAAUGUACCAUAAACAGAUUUUAUUAUGUUUUCAAUUCCCAACAUUGCUUAUCAGAUUUGAGAUCAGCUCCUAAAGAAUAUGUUCAAAGUGCAGAUUCAGUGACCAUCCCAAAGGCUGUGAUUCAUUAGAUGUCUCUACUUUUAAAAAAAUAUUUAUUACUUGAGAAGCAGAAAUGGAAAAAAGAGAAAGGAAGAAAGGGAGAGAGGGAGAGAGGGAAAGGGAAACAGGACAAGAAUGAGCUCCAAUCCACAGGGAGCUGGGAACUCAGUUCAAGUCCUGUGUGUGGCAGUCACCUAACUACCUGAUCCCUCACCACUUCUUGCCAGGGUCUGCAUUAGCAGGGAGCUGGAGUCAGGAGCUGAAGCUGGGUAUUGAUCCCAAGUUUUCUGAUGCCUGAUGUGGGAUGUGGGCAUCUUAACUGGAGUCUUUUAUUUAUUUAUUUUUUUAUUUUUUGACAGGCAGAGUGGACAGUGAGAGAGAGAGACAGAGAGAAAGGUCUUCCUUUUGCCGUUGGUUCACCCUCCAAUGGCUGCCGCGGCCGGCGUGCUGACUGCUAGGCUAAAUGCUUACCUUGGUGUAUCUCUUUUUAACAGACGCUUCAGGCAAGUCUCAUGGAACUAAGCUUCCUGCUAUGGCCUGGGAAAGCAGUAGAAGAUGGCCAAGUCCUUGGACCCCUGUACCCACGUGGGAGACCCGGAAGAAGCUCCUGGCUCCUGGCUUCGGAUCGGGACAGCUGAACCAGCAGAUAGAAGAUCUCUCUUUCCCUCUCUGUGUCUGUAAUUCUGCCUCUCAAAUAAAUAAAUUUUUUUUUUUAAAAAGAAAAAACCCUAAACGUGUCAGAAUUUCUGAACAACAACAAAAAAGUAACACUACACACUACAACAUUUUUACUGGUGGUCCUUAUUAGCCUGGAGAUUUUUUAUUUGUUUUAAAAACUAUACAUCCUAUCCUUCCUCCAGUUACACAGGCCCUCCAGCCUAGCUUAGGGGAGGGAAUUGGGAAAGGCACUUUGCAAAACCUCUUCCAUUUAUCUUCUCUCUAGAUUAAAAACCAGUUUUCUCUAAGGUUUCUUUUAGCUUGUAAAUUCCAUGAUUUUGGUGUUCAUGAUCAUACUUUAAAUUUGAAAGGCCAGAUCAAAAUAUAUCAAAGAUACUCAUUUGAAAUAAGCAGGAAUAGAAUUCAUUUUGCAAUACUUUCACAAGAUUGGUUUAAAAAUGGAAUGGUGAUAGUUAAACAUGGAAGGCUGAUUUUUUUUCUGAAGAAUUCUGUUGGGCUACACUGAAUGUAUUCAUGGAUAAUUAUGGUUCUGUCAGACUUCUUCAUAAGGGCUGUCAGAGGUUUUAUGGACGGGAUUCAUUGUCCUCAUCACAUGGGGAAAUUGAG